GGAGAGGUGGCUCAGUGGUUAAGAGCACUGACUGCUGUUCCAGGGGUCCUGAGUUCAAUUCCCAGCAACCACA
rnacentral:tRNA from 1 species